AGGAGGAAGAGGAGGAAGAAGGUUUAGUGUUGACUUCGGCAAAACCUAGUGAUCUUAUUUGUUACUGGGGGAGCUUUGGGGGUCUUGGCAAACCUGGCGUGUUCUCAUUUUUUGAUGAUUUUUAAGGUUAGGGGCAAGACAGAGCUAGUUUGUUGAUUGUGACUUUGAAAACAUUGUUCUAGACCCAUCAUCAUCAUCAUCAUCAUCAUCAUUUCAUCGACGCCUGCUCCUAGGAGCUCCCACCAGGGGAUGGCCACGGCAGAAGAGCUUCCAUCUUCCUCUAUCCAGACACUCCCUCCUUGCCUGCUCAAAGUUUCUCAAAGAUCUUUCCCCCCUCUCCCUAAUGUACUCUUGCACCCUAUCCCUCCAUUUCACUGGAGGUCGUCCUCUAGCAUUCCCUCCCUCUAUCUCACUCACAUACACCCUUCUGGUCAUCUUACUCUCCUCCAUUCACUCCAUGUGGCCAAACCACUUUAAAGUCUGUCGCUCACUUCUUCCACCACUCCACAUUUCUUCCCUUCACCCCUGUGACACAUUCCAAAAUGCUCGUACACACUUUCAUUACUCAUUCCAUCCAUUCUACUCACACCACAAGCACUCCUCAAAUAACUCAUUUCCACUGCUUGCACUCUAGACCUCUGACUUUCAUUCCAGGCCCACGUUUCACUUGCAUAUGUGAGGGUUGGUACUAUUAUUGUAUUUCUCAAAUCCCUCUUUACCUCCAUGCUCACACUUCUGCCAUUCAUGAUUCGUCCCAAAGACCCUACCACCCUUCUUCCUUGCAAUGCCCUUUCUCUUGUCUCUCCCUCCAUACCACCAUGCUUACACAUAACUGAUCCAAGGUACUUAAACUCAUUUACCUCCUCCAUUUCUUCACCAUUCAAAAUUAUUUUGCAUUCUUUUUCACAUUCAAUUCCCACUCUAUAUGGGCAUACAAAAUCUACAACCUCACUUCUACUUCACUCACAAACCAUCACUUUACUCUUGUUGACAUUUACUUUCAGCUUUCUCCUGUUCAGGUAAAAUGCUUGUGUCAAUAAUAGCAGAUAGUAUUAGGGUUUUAGGGACCAUAUUGACAGACAUAAUUUAAUUCACGACUCACAGCAUGGAUUUAUUAAAGGAAAGUCAUGCAUUACUAAUCUUUUAUCCUUUUACAAUAGAGUAUACGAGGCAGCUGACAAUGAUGAGAGUUACAAUGUAGUUUAUCUUGAUUUUAGUAAGGCCUUCGAUAAGGUACCUCACCAGAGACUGUUAAAUAAAGUCAGGGCUCAUGGGAUUAGAGGGAAUGUAUUUGAUUGGAUUAGGGCGUGGAUUUGCAACAGGAAACAGAGGGUUACCAUUAACGGUAAAAAAUCUGAAUGGGGUAAUGUUACCAGUGGGCUCCCCAAGGUUCAGUUUUAGGCCCGCUUUUAUUCAUUAUCUACAUCAGUGACAUAGACAAUGGGAUAACUAGUGACAUAGGUAAAUUUGCGGAUGACACCAAAAUAGGAUGCACUAUAAGGACAGGGGAGGAUGCGAGAGCUCUGCAGGAGGAUCUCAACAAACUGUCAGCUUGGUCAGAGAAAUGGCAGAUGAAUUUUAACAUCACCAAGUGUAGCGUACUUAGUGUAGGAACACGCAACCCAUUACACGGGUACAGUUUAGACUCCACAGCAAUAGGCAGAUCAGAGUGUGAAAGGGAUCUGGGAGUGUUAGUGAAAUCUUGACCCAAAACUAAGGAAGCAAUGCAUUAGUGCGAGGAAUAGGGCUAACAGGGUAUUAGGCUUUAUUAACAGGACGGUAACCAACAGGAGUGCAGAGGUCAUCCUCAGACUCUAUUUAGCGUUAGUUAGGCCACACUUAGAUUAUGCUGUCCAGUUUUGGUGCCCACACUACAGAAUGGACAUCAACUUGCUAGAAUCAGUUCAGAGGAGGAUGACCAAGAUGAUUCAGGGGCUGAGGAUCCUCCCAUAUCAAAAUAGGCUGAAACAUCUAAACUUACAUUCACUAGAGAGACGAAGAGUGCGGGGAGAUCUGAUAGAAGUAUUCAAAUGGGUCAAGGGUUACAACAAAGGCGAUAUAAGUAAAGUUAUGUGAAUUAGCCGGCAGGAUAGAACACGCAGUAAUGGAUUUAAAUUAGAAAAGUAUAGAUUUACGAGGGAAAUAGGCAAGCAUUGGUUUAGUAAUAGGGUGGUGGGGGAAUGGAAUAGACUCAGCAAUCACAUAGUUAGUGUAGGGACGAUAGCUUGUUUUAAGAGUAGACUGGAUAGCUACAUGGACGAGGACGACAGGUGGCAGUGAGGUGUGGAUGCAGUAAGGUGACAGGGUACUGGAGCGUACGCCCCCAGAAACUACACCACCCAUCGUGAGUAGUGGGGGGGAUUCUGGAGCUGCCCUGUGUAGGCCACUCGGCCUCUUGCAGUCUCCCCGUGUUCUUAUGUUCUCAUGUUCUUAACACCUUGGAGGAGAGGUUGACGGCUAGCUAUGAACACACCGGUCUGGGUUAUAAUGAAGACCCACCCAGCUGUUCAUCCUUCCUUUUGGGUUGGUCUAUAAAAGGGAACCUGGGCAAGGCAGCUGUGGUGACCCAGAUACUGUAGUGGCCAUGUCCUGGGGCUGAAGGGUCCUUGCCCGCUGCUGGCUCAGGGGCCAGAGGGAUGGAGAUGAGCACCACAGCCAGGCACACUUGUAACAUGUGCCCCAAACUUUACCUAAUUACUGCAAACCAGGCCCACAAAAUGAAUAAGAAAUCAGGAGAGAAAUGGAAUGGAACAAUUUUGGUAAACAUUGUAUUAUUAUGACUAUAAACCUGCCCCUCUCCCUGAGGAGAAGGGUGCAGUCUGUGCAUAUUCCCAGCCCUAAAAUGUGCUUCAUAAACUCUGCACCUCACACAAGAUCCAGAGAGAAGUUAAGAAAUGUGCCAAGCUGAAUGGAGAAGAAUGCCAGGCACAACAUGGGGAGACAGGCCUUGAGUGUCCUGGACCAGGGAACAGACAAAGGUUAAAGGUGUCCUGGUGCCUAUGAAAGGUGAGGCUUGGACUUGUGCACUUCAUCUCAUGCACCUCACAACAGCUGAGGAACCAAAGCACCCAGCCAGCGUGUAAGUCAGGGCAGACAGAGAAGCAGGACGUGAAAUUAGAAGCUUUGUGGGGCAGGAUGAAGUGUAUUAACAUCAGACACAGAGACAAAUGGACUUUGUUUUCAUUAAAGGAGCAACUCCAGGGGGAAAAAAACACUAAUCUCUGCUCCAAUAAAAUAAAGUAUAGAGGAGCUGCCAAAAAGAGUUGUGAAAGACCUUCAUCCUAUAGCAGAGAAAUAAUGGGCUGUAUAACUCAACAUUUUGGCACCCAAGCACACAUACUUGGCAAGGCUUUCAUAGGCAUUUUGGGCAUUUCCAAGGACAGUUUUAUGACCCUGGUGUUUUAUGACCCUCUGUUGCGUCCACGAAGCUCCUCCUCCUCUCCGCCCUGGCAUCUCGUGUCCUCGGUAUCCUCCUUCCAACACACUCUGCAUCGCUCCUCUGUGCUGGCCCAAACAGUCACAGUCUCGCACUCCUCGGGAACACCGCAGCGUCUGAACAGUCUCAGUCUCGCACUCCUCGGGAACACCGCAGCGUCUAAACAGUCUCAGUCUCGCACUCCUCGGGAACACCGCAGCGUCUAAACAGUCUCAGUCUCGCACUCCUCGGGAACACCGCAGCGUCUAAACAGUCUCAGUCUCGCACUCCUCGGGAACACCGCAGCGUCUGAACAGUCUCAGUCUCGCACUCCUCGGGAACACCGCAGCGUCUGAACAGUCUCAGUCUCGCACUCCUCGGGAACACAGCAGCGUCUGCACUCUGCACUCGCCCAAAAAGGCUCAGCCUCGCCUCUCCCCGAACCAUCGUGCACUCGCCGCCGCUAUGAUCACUCGUCUCUUAUCAUGUUCCUCGCGGGGGCGUUGCCACAUCAACGAAACUACAAUAGCUGGAGUGCUUCCACAUCUCCCACACAUCACCGCUCAUAUAUACUAUACAAAAACAAACGUCCAGCAGACCGGCACGUCUCCAGUUCUGCCAGCACGCGCAAUGUACAAAAGUGAAGUGCAAACAUCCUGCAGACCGGCACAUCUUCACUCACAGUUCUGCCAGCACGCGCAGUGUACAAAAGUGAGGUGCAAACAUCCUGCAGACCGGCACAUCUUCACUCACAGUUCUGCCAGCACGCGCAAUGUACAAAAGUGAGGUGCAAACAUCCUGCAGACCGGCACAUCUUCACUCACAGUUCUGCCAGCACGCGCAAUGUACAAAAGUGAAGUGCAAACAACUUCAGAGGACACACAAUGACAUUAUGCAAGAAGGAGCACAGAGUGCUGGAGAACAGUGGUGUGAGACUUCCCUUUCUUUCUGUUUAACAA